CAGCCGCCGCGGGAAUACGGAGGGUGCAAGCGUUAAUCGGAAUUACUGGGCGUAAAGCGCACGCAGGCGGUCUGUCAAGUCAGAUGUGAAAUCCCCGGGCUUAACCUGGGAACUGCAUUUGAAACUGGCAGGCUAGAGUCUUGUAGAGGGGGGUAGAAUUCCAGGUGUAGCGGUGAAAUGCGUAGAGAUCUGGAGGAAUACCGGUGGCGAAGGCGGCCCCCUGGACAAAGACUGACGCUCAGGUGCGAAAGCGUGGGGAGCAAACAGGAUUAGAUACCCCAGGUCCCUGUCUCUUAUACAC
rnacentral:rRNA from 1 species